GAUGAACGCUGGCGGCGUGCCUAAUACAUGCAAGUCGAGCGAACGGACGAGAAGCUUGCUUCUCUGAUGUUAGCGGCGGACGGGUGAGUAACACGUGGAUAACCUACCUAUAAGACUGGGAUAACUUCGGGAAACCGGAGCUAAUACCGGAUAAUAUUUUGAACCGCAUGGUUCAAAAGUGAAAGACGGUCUUGCUGUCACUUAUAGAUGGAUCCGCGCUGCAUUAGCUAGUUGGAAGGUAACGGCUUACCAAGGCAACGAUGCAUAGCCGACCUGAGAGGGUGAUCGGCCACACUGGAACUGAGACACGGUCCAGACUCCUACGGGAGGCAGCAGUAGGGAAUCUUCCGCAAAGGGCGAAAGCCUGACGGAGCAACGCCGCGUGAGUGAUGAAGGUCUUCGGAUCGUAAAACUCUGUUAUUAGGGAAGAACAUAUGUGUAAGUAACUGUGCACAUCUUGACGGUACCUAAUCAGAAAGCCACGGCUAACUACGUG
rnacentral:rRNA from 1 species